AACGAACGCUGGCGGCAGGCUUAACACAUGCAAGUCGAGCGCCCCGCAAGGGGAGCGGCAGACGGGUGAGUAACGCGUGGGAACAUACCCUUUGGUUCGGAAUAACUCAGGGGAAACUUGAGCUAAUACCGGAUACGUCCGUAAGGAGAAAGAUUUAUCGCCAAAGGAUUGGCCCGCGUCCGAUUAGCUAGUUGGUGAGGUAACGGCUCACCAAGGCUACGAUCGGUAGCUGGUCUGAGAGGAUGAUCAGCCACAUUGGGACUGAGACACGGCCCAAACUCCUACGGGAGGCAGCAGUGGGGAAUAUUGGACAAUGGGCGCAAGCCUGAUCCAGCCAUGCCGCGUGAGUGAUGAAGGCCUUAGGGUUGUAAAGCUCUUUUGUCCGGGAAGAUAAUGACUGUACCGGAAGAAUAAGCCCCGGCUAACUUCGUGCCAGCAGCCGCGGUAAU
rnacentral:rRNA from 1 species